AGAUGGCUUCCUGCGGAGGAGGGUCUUCUUUUGUCUCUUCCUGAUGGGUUCCACAGCAGGACAGUAGCCUAAUCCUUCUCUGUUAAGGUUUCCACUCAUUAUAUCAGAAGAAGAACCAUUUUCAGCAGCAAGUAUGAGACUAAAAUGAUGAAAGGACAAAAGAUGUGGAGAGAAGGAAGAGCUCAGAAGGAGAGCAUCCAGACCUCUGAUUCCUGUAGAGAUUCCGGUGACAUAAAUAAAGAAUCCAGAGUUGUUACAGCAGAAGCUCUCUAAGGGAGUGAUCAUCCCGGAGGAACUUUAAAGGGAUGCAUAUGUUUUUUUUCUUUCCUUGACAACACAAUUCAUCUGCUAAGUAUUACAUUUCCAUAGCAACAUAAAUGUACUUAAUGAAACAACUCCUUUUUGCACAAAGGAAGGUUAAGGACUCCAGCUGCCUGAGUACGCUGAUGUAGAGAACUGCAUGAGCCCUCCCAC
ensembl:lncRNA